rnacentral:rRNA from 1 species
AUUCCAGCUCCAAUAGCGAAUACUAAUUCUGCUGCAGUUAAAAAGCUCGUAGUUGAACUUCUGGUAGGGCGGAUCCGGUCGUUGGACGAAUGUCCUCUGUUACUGUGUGUCUCGUCUGGCCAUCCUCGGCAACAUUUUGUUGUUGUCGUCUUUCACUGUAAAAAAAUUAGGGUGUUUCAAGCAAAAGUUAUUUGGAAUAUAUUAGUAUGGGAUGAUAAGAUAGGCUCUGGAUGCUAUUUUGUUGGUUUGCACAUUUAGAGAAUGAUUAACAGGGACGGUCAGGGGCACUCGUAUUCCGCCGAGAGAGGUGAAAUUCUCAGACCAGCGGAAGACGAACCACUGCGAAAGCAUUUGCCAGGGAUGUUUUCAUCA